UACGUAGGUGGCAAGCGUUGUCCGGAUUUACUGGGCGUAAAGAGCGCGCAGGCGGUCUUGCAAGUCUCGUGUGAAAGCCCCCGGCUCAACUGGGGAGGGUCACGCGAUACUGCUCGACUUGAAGGCAGGAGAGGGAAGUGGAAUUCCCGGUGUAGUGGUGAAAUGCGUAGAUAUCGGGAGGAACACCAGUGGCGAAGGCGGGUCUCUGGGCCGUAACUGACGCUGAGGAGCGAAAGCGUGGGGAGCGAACAGG
rnacentral:rRNA from 1 species